UUCCACAGUCUGAAUCUCCUUUGAUCUCCCCAGCAGCAGGCUAGAGGGCAGCGCUAGCAUCUUUAACCCCCUCCCCCAGCUUGCAAAAGAAGACACUGAGGUCCGAAGGAAUUAAGUGAUUAGCCCAAGAUCAGAGCAGCUAUUAAAAGUGGUGAAGCAGGGCUGGAGGAGGAGCCCUCUAUUCCAAGGGUAAUGUUCUUUAUCCGAAAUUACCAUAACCAUUCACCCCCUCAAAACGUGUCUUUCUUGUAAGCAACAUUCAUCUCCAGAAAGGCAGCUUUUUGGUGUUUUCUAUGUUGGACGUUUGGCGUUUCUUGAGUUUCAAAUUUGUGGAGGCCCAUGAGAAAACUGGAGGCGGACAUAGGGACAGCUGGGCCAGGAUUCAGAGCCAGGACAAAUCCAGUCCCCUCUCUUCCAAUAAAUGCCAACUCCUCACUUAUGACCUCCCUGGCUGCACAACCCUGGCCAACUGCCUUAGGCCCCGAGGUGCCCAGAUUAAGACCUACUGGACAGGGAAGUUGAGAAGUGCGAACACUUGGUGAAAGAGGCUCCACAACUAAGAGAAGCUGCCAGCAACAGGACUGCUCCGCAGCCCCCAAACCAGGGGUGUUAGGGCCAGUCAGGCCACUCUCCUACUUGACCCAAAUAGGGCCUCUUUGUUAAAUUCUUGUGGAGCAAGGAAAGAGAGGUCUUAUUCUGGAAUGAGCCCCUCAGAGACGUCCAGGGCCUAGGAAGAGCAGGAUAGGAGAAACCAGGGUCCCUCUUCCCCUUCCCCUGUGGCAGAGAUGCCAUUUUAUACUGCAGAGCCCUCUGAGAGACAUUUCUGCAGUUAUUCCUAAAACAGAGGCACCAGAGAAUCACCUGCGGAGGAAGAAGGGAAGAAGAGGAGGGACAGGCUGCUGGGACCAGGCAGCAAAGGACAGGCACCUACUAUGGGCCAGACUACGAUGGGGUGCCUGCUGGGAUCUGCAGUCCCACAAGAGGUGCAUUUCCCAGCCGGGCACGAGCUCUUGAGGAUGCCUAAUUACCCAGCGCACAUCUGGAGCAGCUGCGCCCUCGGACACAUUAUUUCGCUCCAACCCCUAUUUUCAUUCCGGAGGUUGAGUCAUAAAAGACUCUAGAGGCAGAAUAAAGUCAGGUCUGUGUGUGUCAGCAUUCCUGUGUGUGAGUGUGUGUGUGAAUAUGUGCACGUCCGGGGCGACGUCUGUGCAUCUCACUGUGAUUGCCCAAUGGAUUCGCUAAAGUUAAGGGGAAAAAAUGGAGCAACAUCAGGCGAAUUCAACUGCGAACAUACUGUCAGCCUCAUUAUCCGCCCAUUUCAAGGGAAAGCAUUUGGGUCUUGGAAUUAGCCAGUUAAUUGCCUCACUUCUUUGUUCACUUUAGGGCAGGAGAAACUAUCUGCAUCCUAUUAAAGCAUUCUAUAUUUCAAAACUUUAAGAUCUCCUCAUUCUCAAUUUUCUUUAUUUCUAUCUUUAUAACACUUGAGCACUCAGAUCUGCCCGUAUCUCUCUCUCUCUCUCUCUCUCUCUCUCACACACACACACACACACACACCUGUUUCAUGCUUGAAAAGUAACUCUUAGUUUCUGCAUCUGUAAAAUCUGGUAUCUUAACUCUUAAAGUUAAUGUAAGGAUUAAUUAAUGUACUAUGAUUUACUAUGUGUCUAGCAUUUAGCACAAUACCUGGUGCACAGGCAGCAUUUAGUAAACAGUAACUACUAAUAACAAGGAGGAGAAAGAAGAGAAAAGAGGAGGGGGAAAACGGGAAUAGAGGGUGAGUGGCAAGGAGGAAAUCUGCUUUGUUCACAGAGAGCCGGCCUAGGACGGAGAGUGUGUGUCUCAGCUGUAUAUGUAUAAUGUAUUCUUUUGACUUAGAGCAAUGUCUAUAAAAGUGAGGCCCCUUGGACCCCUUGACCUGUAACUACCUCUUCAAUAAGGUACAGAGAAUUGGGGCAAUUAUCUGGCUCAUUUCAGGUUCAAACUCCCUUUAGCCUGAAGUAUCUGGAUCUCAUGGGAGAAAGGUCUGAGAAGUGGUGACUUGUAUUCCUUUGACUUUUCAAGGAGUUCUUUCCCUUUGCUGUGGUGAGCACGGUCCUGCCUUAGAAAAUGGGUAGACAAGAAAUAGGGGGCCAGGAAGCUGGAAUUAAACAGAACAUCUGAGAAAUGCUUGACAAAAACCAGGUCUUACCCACUUCCUGGGUACCCAGGAGGCGGCCCUGAAGUUCUCUAUGCACUCGCCCCAGAGGACCACCGCCCCACCGAAAGAAGUCACAGGCUUUUGCCUGCUGGGGACUUUCAUUCCACAUUCAGCAAUCAUUUCCUGAGCACCUACUGUGCCCAGCACUGGGCUGAGCUCUGGAGCUUCAGCAGGGCUGCACCCUACCAGUUGGCAGUGCUGAUGUGGCAGCCAGCAAGAGGUCUUGGCUCCUAGAAACAAGUCCAGGACACAAGAAAGGGGACAAGCCUGCUGGGCAAAAACUUCUGGCCAAUAGCAGCACUGCCUUUUCAGGGCCAAAGUCCUAAUGCAGGGGCGGAGCCAGAAGGUCGGGAGCACCCCCUUCCAAUUGUCUAUCAGAAAAAGGCCAACUCCACGGUGCAGGGCCCAGUGCAGGGAGGGGUGGGGCAGGCAAAGAGAUGGCUAGAGGCUCCUGACCCUCAGUCGGAAGUUUCUGAGAACACCAAUUAGCUUUCUUUAAUUAGUAAAGUAAGGAGCCAAUGAGCAUAUAUUUCUUCUGCUCUGAUUAAAAGCAUUUAGGUCAGGUUUUCACAGCCAGGAUUAUCCAGUUUAAGCUGUCCCAAGAAGAGAAUUGUUUAUUUUUUUCUUUGUAUUUUCAGGCAGGGGUCUGAAUACUAUUAGCCAGCCAUUGGUUUCUUGUCACAGCCUCAAACUGCUGGGCAGGUGGGUGGUGGUUGUACAGCGCAGAGAGUGGCAACUAGAAAUGAGUUGGAGUCUUUCCUGUGCCAAGUCACAUUUGUUUGAAAUAUAUAGACAAUUGAGGAGCAGCCAGGAGGGCUUGGGUUUGGAGUAUAAGUAUGUUUGGAGGGGGAGGGUACAAUUAGCCAGAUAAUUUCCAGUUAUCCUAAUUUGUCUUAACAUAGUCCUCGAAAAAUGAAGUUUAUUUACUUCCCAGACCCCAAAGAAGCCUGACUUUUCUCCUGGGAGAUUUAGCUUGGUCAAUUCACACAGGUGGGGAGAUGGCCAGGAAACUUAAUAGGCUGGGGAAGAACAGCUAAGUCCUUCUUUACACUCUGUGUCUAAACAGGCCACAACCCAUGAGGCUGGGCGUGAUUAGGAGGUCCCCCAGGAUAGUCAGGGGUCACAUGCUGUUUAUCUCUUACAAACAAGAUUACUAAAAUAUUAGGGAGCAAAUCCUUCCCCUUUAAGUCCAGCAUUUGGUAUUCCCCAGCCUCUAACCUUGGCUAAAUCAGCCCCAAGUAGAGCCGGGGUCCCUGAGGAAAAGUAAUAAGUGAGUCAAUAAGGGACACAAAGGAACAUUCUAUUGCCCAAUCCCCAUUUGCUUGACUUACAGACAGUUUUAGUUAGGAGGCUGUUUCCAGAUAGUCUUCCCUUUCAGGAGUUCUGGUAUGGUUUUAAGUUCCUGGGAAGCUGCUUAAGCCUGAUUUCCUUCCAUUGCACUUCCAACUGCUGGCCAGUGCAAGAUCAGCUUUCCCCAGCAAAGCUCUUCCCACGUUCUCAGGCUCCCAGCUGCUGAGAAGGAAAGACUGACUCCCGCUGGGAAGGAAAGACUGACUCCCACUGGGAGACCAGACCCUACAGGUAAUGGUGGGGAGAGGACACUGCCACCGGACUGUUUUUAAAGGUGAAGGUUGACCUGGCAAAAUGGAGAUGUCAGCCAAGAGAAAGGGUGAAGAGCUAUGUAAACUGACUAUAUUUGGCCUCGGCAUUUCCCAGACACCAGCUCCUUUGAUCUAUCCAAAUUGUAGUUCUUAACUUGGUGUCUGAGGAGACUGAAACUCUCUGAAAUUGUGGGAUUUGGUGAGUACUACAUAAGUGCAUUUUUUUUUCUCGGUAGAGGGAAAUCAAUAUUGUUCAUCAAAAUUUAAAUUAUCUUCUCAGGGAGCGGCCCCCCAAAAUGUUAAGAACCUCUCAUCCGCUAAUCUUAUACAACCAACCAAAAACGUAAUGCAAAGGGAGGCGUUGUAAUAGACUUGGGUAUCUGACAAGACAAAUUAAAAGGACAAACAAUUUCUUGUUCCACAAGGUUGAAUAGACACUGUCACCUGGACUUCCUGGAACACCAGGCACCAGGUCACAGGUGCUGGGGACUCUUGGACUGAGACCAGGCAGGCCACAACACCCAGUCACUACCUCCUCCGUAUUUGCCUUUUCAGACAAGGAGUAUGCAAGGUCUCUGUGUCUCUAAUCAAAGUGAUAUGGAGCUUUUAUCCACUGGGGCCUGGACCUUCCGCCAUUUGCCACCUUGUCCAAAGCCAUCUCAUACCGAAAGAGAAUUGAACGUUUCAGGAAACACCUCCCCUGUGCAAAUGCCCUUCUCUUGGGGAAUGGGUAUAGUGUCCAAAUCUCCAACUCCCAUCAUUUCCAACCAGCCCUGAGGAACUGUCUGAGACCCCGGAGCCCAGAGACCAUCAGCGGGGGCCAACAGCCAUGACCUUUGAGUUUUCUUGGCCGCUGGGCCACAAAAAGGGUGCAAGAGACAGCUGGACAGGUAGACAGAAGUAGGCACAAAGAAAGGGGCCCUGGACGGCUGUCAGAGAAAAGACGGAGAAUGACAAAGAGAGAAGUGAAGUAGCUGGACUGGAGGCGGGAACUGGAGCGCAGCAGGCAGGUGGAGUGGCCAAAACCUGCGUGCUAAGAAGAGUCCAGAGGGGCGGCAGAGGCGGCCAGGCGCGUCUCCGUUUCCCAUCUUUACGCUGGGGUUAAUGACCUCCUCAGCGCCCCCUCGUCCCAAACCACCCAAUUACAACUCCUCAGGCUCCUUAAUGCUCUGAUUAAUUGGCUGGUUCGGGGGGAUGGAGGUGCUCCUCUGCUGGGGACCUGGCGGGGUUUCGCUAGAUCAUUUGUUAAUUGUGGGAAGGAAGGUCGCAUUCGGGGAGAGGAAAUCCAGGGCUGGAAAAGUGGGUGAGCGGCGCUGGCACAGGCGGCCAGGAGGGAACAGAUGAACUGUUCGUUAGGAGCAGCGAGGUAGUCGGGAGCGCUGAGAUUCAGAGACCAGGACCCACUCCCUCUCUGAGCAGCAAAUCGGGAAGAAGAUGCUCAUUCGGUAAGGGCGAGGGAGCCCUGCAAGGCGCCCCACCCCGGGCUCGGUCUAUCCGCGCGCCAAGAUCCCGCUUGGGGCGAGGCGCUGGGUCAGCGUUUAGAGCCACUCCCUGCGCUGGUGGCUGGACAUAGCCUCCCUAUCACACCUCAUCUUCCCCCUUCCCCGACGGCGGAGGUUGUGAAUCUACAGGCCCUUGACGUUGAGGCGUCGGAGGGCGCACCUUUGUAAUUGUGGCCUCACUUCGCCCCUUAAGUACCGCUUCCGGGCGCCGAGGCUGGAUAUGAAAGCCCGGUUCCUAAUCCUCUGCUUUGGCCCCCUCCUCCGGACUGCCGGGACUCCAACCUAGGCCCUCCCCAGUUUCCAUCACUACGGCGCCAACCCGCGGCUGGGCUGUCUGCGAGAGGGAGCUGAAGGUGCACGGAAUCCCGAGGUGCCGCUGACCCUCCUCUCAACGCUGACUCUGCGGCUCCCGCCCGGCCAUCUCCCUAUGGGGCAGACUUCCUGUUCUCCCUCUCACAGCAGGGAGGCAGUAGCGGAGCCGGUCAGCAGCUUGCACGGAGUUCUUCACUCUGCGCCCAGCCCCGGGACACAGGUGCAGAUCGCCAGCGGAGCACUGCGGAGUGCUCGCCGUCGUGCACUAGCGAAUCCUAGACGGAGGACUUGGUCCAUUCCACGCAGUCCCAGGCAGGUCCGCAGCGGAGGGACUCAGCGGUCUCCAACCCCUGGUCACGACUUCCGCGACCCUCCACCCCCCGAAGAGACCUGGUCCCGUGGAGCUGUCCCCCUAGGAGCCGCAGCGGGAAUAGCAAGGCAAAGGGGACCACUCAGCCCCCAGGAGGAGCCCAGAAGCGAGAAGGUUGCUGCGGGGAGCCUCUGGUUCCCUCUGGUUCACCUUGGAGCCCAGGAGCUCCCUGGACCAAGGAGUGAACAGACCUGAGGAAGAGACAGUGAUGCGAGACUGGAAAGAGGACAUGGCAUGGAGUCAGAAGAUUUGGGUUCAAGUUCCCGCUCUGCCAAUUACCAGCUGUAUGAUGUUGGGCCAGCUGAGCCGCCAUCUCUUCGAGGAAGUUUUCCCUGAAGCCCUGAGAUGUUCUGCCAAUUGAAUGGAAACUGUCCAUAGUGGGGAGCAGAGAGCCUCAUCCUGUCUGGAACUGGACAUCCAUCCUUAAGGCCAGAGUUCUCCCACCACCAACUUUAACUCCUGCCCUAGCCCUCUCUCUUCCUUUUCAAAACCCUCUCCACCCAGGAAGGGAGAUUCUGGAGCCAAGACUGUACCAGCCACACCUCCCCAGAGUUGUUAAGCAAGGAACCCGAAGCCAGGGGUGGUCCUCUGGCAAUCACCCCCAUUACCAAUAGCAGGACAGAUGUGUUUCUGAUGGACUACACUAUCCCCGGAGGUCACAUGAUUCAGGCUGCCAAAGGUACCUGCCCUUGGGAAAUCAACUCCUGAAGGUAAAUUGGGAUUGGGUCCUGAGAAGAUCCAUGGAAGCCCGGAGGACCCUGCCUCUCUCUGUUGCUUCAUGCUGUAGAGGCGGUACUGGGGAGGGCUGCCCACAUCCGGUGGGGCAGCUGGGACCAUACGUUUGAUGACACUCUGCUCCCUCAAUGUGGAGCCUCAUCCUCAUCUCACAGUCCAGCAGGACUGUGGGCUUCUCUCACCCAGUGUGUGAGUGUUUUUGGAAGUGGCCUGAUUUUGGAGUUUCCCUCCAAGCCUUUCUCAGGCACAUGCUUUCUCUCCCAUUCUCUCUUCUUUUAUCAAUCUUCUUAAGUCUGAUUUUCUCCUUUUUCCCUCUGUUGUCUCCAUCUUUUUUCCAGUCUCUCACUUCUCUUUCUUUCUCCCCAUAUUUCACUCUGUUCUCUCACCCCUCCCUUUCCCUUUUGUUUCUCUCCCUCUCUCUCUUCCCACCCCCUGCCUGGCCUUCAAUAUAUCAAGCAAAGUUUUAUCACCUUAUGCAGGGGCAGCCCUGCCACUGCCAUAGAGUUGAUAGGCUAAUGACAUUUUGUGGAUAUUGCUAUGUCACAAGUGCAGGGACAGCAUCAAAAACAGCCCUGAUGUCUAAACCACUUCAGCUAUCUUUUUUUAUUUUUUAAAUAAAUAUGUUCACAUGAUUUUAAGAAACUAUAAAAAUGUAUAAAGUAAAAAAAUCUUUCUCUCACACUGUCUCCACCUCUCCUGGUCUCUCCGUUGUGCUUCGAAAGGGGAAACCAUUGUGAUUAGUUUAUUCUAUGUCCUUCCAGAGUGUCUUUAUGCAAAUGAAAAUUAUUGUGAUAAUAUAUUCCUAUUUUUCCCCUUACUACACAAAAGGUAGACUACCAUAAUUCCAUUCUGCACUUUCUUUUUUCACUUGAUAAUAAAAACAUGAUUU